UGACCAUUAUCCGAUCGCUAAGACGCUUGCACACUCCCUCAAAGCUCCAUUUGUUUAAGCCCACCUAGAAAUGUUUUUCCCUGAGGGACAGACUGCGCUAAGAGUGAACAAACUAACGAGUUCAUGACAUGAUCCAGGGAUCUGAUGCAACCACCCCCCAUUGUCAGUGUCCAGUUGGUCAUCAAAAUGCCGGGAUCUCUUGCAAGGUUCAUCAACACUUGG